UACAGAGGAGCCAAGCGUUGUCCGGAUUGACUGGGCGUAAAGCGCACGCAGGCGGAUGCGCGCGUGGGGUGUGAAAUCUGGCCGCUUAACGGCCAGGCGCCAUCCCAUACGGCGCGUCUGGAGUGAUGCAGAGGUCGAUGGAAUUGCCGGUGUAGUGGUGAAAUGCGUAGAGAUCGGCAGGAACACCCAGGGGGGAAACCAGUCGACUGGGCAUCUACUGACGCUGAGGUGCGAGAGCGUGGGGAGCGAACCGG
rnacentral:rRNA from 1 species